rfam:Sus scrofa breed Duroc isolate TJ Tabasco Contig2471_1, whole genome shotgun sequence.
ACUGUGAUGGCGGAGUGGUUAAGGUCUUGGACGCGAAAUCCAAUGGGGUUUCCCUGCGCAGGUUCAAAUCCUGCUCACAGCG